rnacentral:rRNA from 1 species
GACGAACGCUGGCGGCGUGCUUAAUACAUGCAAGUCGAACGGAAAGGCCCUGCUUUUGUGGGGUGCUCGAGUGGCGAACGGGUGAGUAACACGUGAGUAACCUGCCCUUGACUUUGGGAUAACUUCAGGAAAAUGGGGCUAAUACCGGAUAGGAUCUCCUGCUGCAUGGUGGGGGUUGGAAAGUUUCGGCGGUGGGGGAUGGACUCGCGGCUUAUCAGCUUGUUGGUGGGGUAGUGGCUUAACAAGGUUUUGACGGGUAGCCGGCCUGAGAGGGUGACCGGCCACAUUGGGCCUGAGAUACGGACCAGACUCCUACGGGAGGCAACAGUGGGGAAUAUUGCACAAUGGGCGGAAGCCUGAUGCAGCAACGCCGCGUGCGGGAUGACGGCCUUCGGGUUGUAAACAGCUUUCGCCUGUAACGAAGCGUGAGUGACGGUAAUGGGUAAAGAAGCACCGGCUAACUACGUG